AGUUAUGUAAAAUGAUACCACAACUUUAGAUUGAACACUGAUGAGGUAUUUGAUCAUAUUGUCUCAAACCAUUGAGACUUAAAUAUUGCAUAUGAUAUACAGUCCAGAAGGUUCUUGCAAAACUACCUCCGGAAAUUGCAAGAAAAUAUUUUUCCUAAGCUUGUGGAUUGCCUAUUCCUCUUCAAAUCUUUCAUUUACAUGCCAUGUUUGCCUGAUAAGACACAGGCAUGAAUGGUAACC